UACGUAGGGUGCAAGCGUUGUCCGGAAUUAUUGGGCGUAAAGAGCUCGUAGGCGGUUUGUCGCGUCUGCUGUGAAAACCCGAGGCUCAACCUCGGGCCUGCAGUGGGUACGGGCAGACUAGAGUGCGGUAGGGGAGAUUGGAAUUCCUGGUGUAGCGGUGAAAUGCGUAGAUAUCAAGUGGAACACCAGUGGCGAAGGCGAGUCUCUGGACAUUUCCUGACGCUGAGGCACGAAAGCCAGGGGAGCAAACGGG
rnacentral:rRNA from 1 species